UACGUAGGGGGCAAGCGUUGUCCGGAUUUAUUGGGCGUAAAGAGCGUGUAGGCGGUCAUGCAGGUCCGUUGUGAAAACUCGAGGCUCAACCUCGAGACGCCGAUGGAAACCGCAUGGCUAGAGUCCGGAAGAGGAGAGUGGAAUUCCUGGUGUAGCGGUGAAAUGCGCAGAUAUCAGGAAGAACACACGUGGCUAAGGCGGCUCUCUAGUACGGUACUGACGCUGAGACGCGAAAGCGUGGGGAGCGAACAGG
rnacentral:rRNA from 1 species